rnacentral:SRP_RNA from 1 species
AGGAGAGGCUGUCUCCCCGGUGGACGUUUGCGCCGGGGGGGCGGCGGACGCAGUUGUUGCUUCUGGAGGGAGGGUCGAA